rnacentral:rRNA from 1 species
GACGAACGCUGGCGGCGUGCCUAAUACAUGCAAGUUGAGCGCUGAAGGUUGGUACUUGUACCAACUGGAUGAGCAGCGAACGGGUGAGUAACGCGUGGGGAAUCUGCCUUUGAGCGGGGGACAAAAUUUGGAAACGAAUGCUAAUACCGCAUAAAAACUUUAAACACAAGUUUUAAGUUUGAAAGAUGCAAUUGCAUCACUCAAAGAUGAUCCCGCGUUGUAUUAGCUAGUUGGUGAGGUAAAGGCUCACCAAGGCGAUGAUACAUAGCCGACCUGAGAGGGUGAUCGGCCACAAUGGGACUGAGACACGGCCCAAACUCCUACGGGAGGCAGCAGUAGGGAAUCUUCGGCAAUGGACGAAAGUCUGACCGAGCAACGCCGCGUGAGUGAAGAAGGUUUUCGGAUCGUAAAACUCUGUUGGUAGAGAAGAAAGUUGGUGAGAGUGGAAAGCUCAUCAAGUGACGGUAACUACCCAGAAAGGGACGGCUAACUACGUG